UACGUAGGGUGCAAGCGUUGUCCGGAAUUAUUGGGCGUAAAGAGCUCGUAGGCGGUCUGUUGCGUCGGCUGUGAAAACCCGGGGCUCAACCCCGGGCCUGCAGCCGAUACGGGCAGACUAGAGUUCGGCAGGGGGAGACUGGAAUUCCUGGUGUAGCGGUGGAAUGCGCAGAUAUCAGGAGGAACACCGGUGGCGAAGGCGGCAUCCUGGACCGGUAUUGACGCUGAGGAGCGAAAGCCAGGGGAGCAAACGGG
rnacentral:rRNA from 1 species